rnacentral:rRNA from 1 species
UACAGAGGGGGCAAGCGUUAUUCGGAAUUAUUGGGCGUAAAGGGCGCGUAGGCGGCCUGGCAAGUGGAAGGUGAAAUCCCUCGGCUUAACCGAGGAACUGCCCUCCAAACUGCUUGGCUUGAGUCCGGGAGAGGUGAGUGGAAUUCCCAGUGUAGAGGUGAAAUUCGUAGAUAUUAGGAAGAACACCGGUGGCGAAGGCGGCCCACUGGUCCGGUACUGACGCUGAGGUGCGAAAGCGUGGGGAGCAAACAGG